rnacentral:rRNA from 1 species
UACAGAGGUCUCAAGCGUUGUUCGGAAUCACUGGGCGUAAAGGGUGCGUAGGCGGGUCUUUAAGUCAGGGGUGAAAUCCUGGAGCUCAACUCCAGAACUGCCUUUGAUACUGAGGAUCUUGAGUACGGGAGAGGUGAGUGGAACUGCGAGUGUAGAGGUGAAAUUCGUAGAUAUUCGCAAGAACACCAGUGGCGAAGGCGGCUCACUGGCCCGGUACUGACGCUGAGGAGCGAAAGCGUGGGAGCAACAGG